CUGCUAAAUAGUCCAAGAAGAUGUCCCACCCACAAAUCUAUCAUUGAAAUGGGCACAAUUAUUGUGGGGAGGACGGGACUAUAGUCCCAUAUCGGCUGUGACUUGGUUCUCGCUGCCUGCGUCCACCGACCGGAUGUAACUUCCUGGAAAGGGGUGAACGACUUUCUUCCACUACAGUGGAUGAAGUUGCUUCCAGUUGAAAACCGACCGGCUAAACAGUCCCAAGAAUAGAAAUGGGUUCCUGAAAAAGAGGUGAACGACUUUCUUCCACUGCAGUGGGUGAAGUUGCUUCCCAAUUGAAAACCGGCC
rnacentral:lncRNA from 1 species